GAGUUAAGAGAUAAGGAAAUUCAUGUGGUUCAGUAACAUGCACCUUCAGAUAGCAUUCAUUGCAUAUGACAUAAUAGUGCAAGUAGUGAUGGAGUGGUACAUGGAUGAUUGUAUACAUCACAGAAGAUAAUGCUACGUGUAAAGUUGCAGAGUAUUUGUAGUUUCAUUGAAGUUGUGAAGUUCAAUGAAAGUUGACACCUGUUGAUAAAGAUCUUUAUGGCAUGAGGGACUUUUCUUUUUAGCUGUGCUCAUUGUUUUGUUUUGUUUUUCUUUGCUCUAUUACACAUAAUUACAUAUUUACUCUUGCUUUGCUUUUGGGGAAAUGAUUUUGCAAGCUGAUGUAAAUUACCGUUUACAUGCUUUAAGUGACAGGUGAGCCAGACGGGGCUGCAAAAACAUGUGUCGCAUUUCUAAGCACAGAAAAAAGAAAAGAAAAAAAAAAACCCCUUCUUUUUUAGACCACUAGGUGGAAGUAUAUCACAAAUAAAUAUAACACAAUCUUAGACUUUCUUGAAUAAUUUGAAGGAUACUUAAAUUGAUCUUACAAUAACAGCACUGCCUCAAUUAUUAUUAUUAUUAUUAUUAUUAUUAUUAUUAUUAUUAUUAUUAUUAUUGGUAGACAGUGUAUUUUUAUAUCUUCAUCUUUCAAAAUAUUAGUCUGCCUUUAUUAACAGCACCAAUGUAUGCUCCCUUUAUUAAUAUUUUCAGAAUGUGUUAUGACAGCCCCUUUAAGUAGGCACCCUUUAAAUAAAAUUCUAAGAUACAAAGUAGGUAGGUACUCUUUAAAUAAUGUGUUAUGAAGGCCUAAAGUAGGCAUACUUAAAUUAAAGUGUUAUGAAUGUGUUAUAAAGGCCCAAUAUAGGUAUUCAUUAAAUACACUGAAUGCGACUCUAUAAUGAAGGCCUAAAGUAGGUACCCUUUACAAAAAAAAGUGUUAUGAAUGUGUUAUAAAUGCCUAAUGUAGGCAGCCUUUAAAUAAAGUGUUAUAAAUGUGUCAUAAACCCCAAUAUAGGUACUCAUUAAAUACACUGAAUGCGACUCUAUAAUGAAGGCUUAAUUUAGCUAUGCUUCAAACUAUGUGUUAUGAAUGUGUUAUGAAGGCCAAACGUAGGCACAUAAAAUGCUUUGAACGUGAAAGGCCCAUUGCCUUUUUGAAUUCUUUAGAUAAAGUGUUAUGAAUGUACAGUAUACAGAGGGCCCAGGUUUGAAUCUUUUCAAAUGGGGUGUUAUGAACAUGUCACGAAGGCCCAAUGUCGGACACGUUUCAAACAAACAAAGUGUUCUAAAUGUUCCGAAAUCCAAAAAUCGUUUCAAUAAAGUGUUACGAAUGCCUUCUGAAGGCCCUGUGUACGUACAUGUUAAAUAACGUGUCACUCAGAGCUCUUAUGAAGGAACAUACAGGGAGCUUAAUGUAUUUUAAUAUGUAAAAUUGAACAUAUGAGGAAUGAACAUACUGAGCGUUCUCGGUGCAUUAUGGGUGAUACAGACCGUCCUCGCUAUGUUGUAUGUGAUGCUUGAAAAGAAAUCGUCUUGGAACCCGGUCUGGAAAUGUCUUACGACGUAGGAUCAGAUCACAGCAAGAAGGCUGACAUGAGUUUGUCCAGAAAGACAGAGAGAGGCAGAGAGAGAAAGCUGAAUGCUCCUUCCGGCGUGACCUAUUUCACUCUGAGAUUCUCGAAAUCCUCCACGAUAAUUGUUCCCAUCUGAACUAAAAAUGUCGAAAAUCUCUAAAUCCGUGCGAUUUGAUGCGACUGGGUGGAAAUGGGGGAAGAUUAGCAGCUUGCCAGUGCUAUUUUGGUUUAUCACAUAUUAAUUUGCAUGUCUCUAUUGACACUUAAUUACAGUAAUACCCACCUACACCAGGAAUUACCGCCGAUAACGCCAUCAAACAGACUCCGGUACUGUCAGAGGGAAAGGCUGAUAAUUAGCUGUGUUUAUGUGGAGGCACACACACAGCACUCAAAGUUGGAGCGUUUCUCAGAAAAGAUGGUGUGAGGGUGUGAGAAGGUGAAAACCUGCCGUGAGGUUGCGUUAUCAGACAGUAUUGGUGAGGUUUGAUGCUCAUUUACAUUUACAGUAGAACACGUAAAGGUCAACCUGAAAGGCAUAUAUGAGUCUGUGGUUUUCUGAUAUCAUGAUGACCUUUUAGCAAUGUUUAUCCUAUUAUAAUCACAUAAACCUUGUCUUUAAUGUAAUUUCAACGUGCAACAAUUUUCAUCUCCUUUGAAGGAAAAAAAAAAGGAAAUGUACCUGUAUUUUAUUUACAGUUUAUCUACACAAAAUAAAAUGAGUUAAUAACGAAAUGUGUGUGUAUCCUGGAACAAGACAGCGCUCCAAAACAUCAUUCAAAAUCAACAGAAAAACUUGAACUUGUAGUAAUAAUAAUAGAUAAUAAUAAACUUAACAUUCAUUAUUAAUAUUAACAUUCAUCUUCCAUAACACCUCAGCAGUGCUACAGGCUGAUUGCCUCCAUGCCACGCCGCAUUGAUGCAGUAAUUCGUGCAAAAGGACACGCGACCAAGUGUCGAGUGCAUAAAUGAACAUACUUUUCAGAAGGUCGACAUUUCUGUAUUAUAAAUUCUUUAUUCCAAUCUUCAUAACGCGGUUCCUGAGCAGUACAACCCGAACGUUUGCUUGUGCACAGCGCAUUUUAUGGAGGACAGCUUCCUGAACCUGCUGACAUGCUAGCUAACGUUUGCUAAGUUGCCUCAGGUUUUUUAAAAAUGUUUGUUUGUAUGUUGGUG
ensembl:lncRNA